UAUUCUUCUUACUUAUCGUCACGUUUGCCGGAUUUUCAUUUUCCCGCCCCGACCACCAUUCGAGGAACUGCAAAGCUUACCGACGACCGGCUCUAAACGAAGUGCUCACGAGAAUAUGCCUACUUUGCCAUGAAAUGUUUUCAGUCGACCAGCCGAAUCUAGCCGCCGAGUGCAGCUCGAAUUGCUUCAGGAAUCCGGCGUUUAACAAGUGUCUCAACUUUUUUAGGCCGAAAUUUUCUCCUUUUCUGGGUUCCACGUGA
rnacentral:misc_RNA from 1 species